CCGACACGGUGCGCGAGAUGAGUAUUCUAAGGCGCUUGAGAGAACUCAGGAGAAGGAACUCGGCAAAUUGACACCGUAACUUCGGAAGAAGGUGUGCCCUAUUAGUGUGUAGUGAACAACGAAGCAUGAAUGGGUUGCAAAAAAUCGGUGGCUGCGACUGUUUAUUAAAAACACAGCACUCUGCAAACACGAAAGUGGACGUAUAGGGUGUGACGCCUGCCCGGUGCUGGAAGAUUAAAUGAUGGGGUGCAAGCUCUUGAUUGAAGUCCCAGUAAACGGCGGCCGUAACGAUAACGGUCCUAAGGUAGCGAAAUUCCUUGUCGGGUAAGUUCCGACCUGCACGAAUGGCGUAACGAUGGCCACACUGUCUCCUCCUGAGACUCAGCGAAGUUGAAAUGUUUGUGAUGAUGCAAUCUCCCCGCGGAAAGACGGAAAGACCCCAUGAACCUUUACUGUAGCUUUGUAUUGGACUUUGAACAGAUCUGUGUAGGAUAGGUGGGAGGCUUUGAAGCAGGGUCGCUAGAUCUUGUGGAGCCAACGUUGAAAUACCACCCUGGUGUGUUUGAGGUUCUAACCUAGGUCCAUUAUCUGGAUCGGGGACAGUGCAUGGUAGGCAGUUUGACUGGGGCGGUCUCCUCCCAAAGCGUAACGGAGGAGUUCGAAGGUACGCUAGUUACGGUCGGACAUCGUGACGAUAGUGCAAUGGCAUAAGCGUGCUUAACUGCGAGACUGACAAGUCGAGCAGAUGCGAAAGCAGGACAUAGUGAUCCGGUGGUUCUGUAUGGAAGGGCCAUCGCUCAACGGAUAAAAGGUACUCUGGGGAUAACAGGCUGAUACCGCCCAAGAGUUCAUAUCGACGGCGGUGUUUGGCACCUCGAUGUCGGCUCAUCUCAUCCUGGGGCUGUAGCCGGUCCCAAGGGUAUGGCUGUUCGCCAUUUAAAGAGGUACGUGAGCUGGGUUUAAAACGUCGUGAGACAGUUUGGUCCCUAUCUUCCGUGGGCGCUGCAGAUUUGAGGAAGCCUGCUCCUAGUACGAGAGGACCGGAGUGGACACACCUCUGGUGUAUCGGUUGUCACGCCAGUGGCAUUGCCGAGUAGCUAAGUGUGGAAGAGAUAACCGCUGAAAGCAUCUAAGCGGGAAACUCGUUUCAAGAUGAGAUCUGCCGGGGCCUUGAGCCCCCUAAAGAGUCGUUCAAGACCAGGACGUUGAUAGGUCAGGUGUGGAAGC
rnacentral:rRNA from 1 species